AAGUGUGAAAUAAGUACUGCUAAUACUUAAAACCAAAAUUAGUCCUUUGGCACCCUUA
rnacentral:tRNA from 1 species